ACAGUAUCCCUGAGAGUUAGGGAGAAUGUGUUUAUUUGAUUAGCUCCCCCUGAAAGGCAAAUAUCAAUGUGGCCAAGAAUUUGGACUUUGAACCCAGGCAACCUUCCCAUUGCUUGAAAGGUUAGCUCUUGCUUUCCAAAGCAGGCCAUGAAAAGAUAUGUGUCCUCUUCCCUGAUGUGUUCAAAGAGGGAUGGACUUGUCAAGACUUCUCUUUUGAACCUGGAAAUAAUCGAUGUAGUGCCUACUGCAAGCCACAGAUUAAUAUUUUAAAGGAUCCCUUUCAUAAGGCUUCAAUGAUGACGUUUUAAUCGGUCCUGUUUUAGGGCAACUUCUCAAUCCGUACAGCCAAGAUGCAGCAGCACGUGUGUGAAACCAUCAUCCGCAUCUUUAAGAGACACGGAGCUGUUCAGUUGUGUACCCCACUACUACUUCCCCGAAACAGACAAAUAUAUGAGCACAACGAAGCUGCCCUAUUCAUGGACCACAGCGGGAUGCUGGUGAUGCUUCCUUUUGACCUGCGGAUCCCUUUUGCAAGAUAUGUGGCAAGAAAUAAUAUAUUGAAUUUAAAACGAUACUGCAUAGAACGUGUGUUCAGGCCGCGCAAAUUAGAUCGAUUUCAUCCCAAAGAACUUCUGGAGUGUGCAUUUGAUAUUGUCACUUCUACCACCAACAGCUUUCUGCCAACUGCUGAAAUUAUCUACACUAUCUAUGAAAUCAUCCAAGAGUUUCCAGCACUUCAGGAAAGAAAUUACAGUAUUUAUUUGAACCAUACCAUGUUAUUGAAAGCAAUACUCUUACACUGUGGGAUCCCAGAAGAUAAACUCAGUCAAGUCUACAUUAUUCUGUAUGAUGCUGUGACAGAGAAGCUGACGAGGAGAGAAGUGGAAGCUAAAUUUUGUAAUCUGUCUUUGUCUUCUAAUAGUGUCUUGAUCAAUUUGGGCUUGGUUUACAAGGUGCAGCAGCACAAUGGAAUCAUCUUCCAGUUUGUAGCGUUCAUCAAACGAAGGCAAAGGGCUGUACCUGAAAUCCUUGCAGCUGGAGGCAGAUAUGACCUGCUGAUUCCCCAGUUUAGAGGGCCACAAGCUCUGGGGCCAGUUCCCACUGCCAUUGGGGUCAGUAUAGCUAUAGACAAGAUAUCUGCUGCUGUCCUCAACAUGGAGGAACCUGUUACAAUAAGCUCUUGUGACCUCCUGGUUGUAAGUGUUGGCCAGAUGUCUAUGUCCAGGGCCAUCAACCUAACGCAGAAACUCUGGACAGCAGGCAUCACAGCAGAAAUCAUGUACGACUGGUCACAGUCCCAAGAGGAAUUACAAGAGUACUGCAGACAUCACGAAAUCACCUAUGUGGCCCUUGUCUCGGAUAAAGAAGGAAGCCAUGUCAAGGUUAAGUCUUUCGAGAAGGAAAGGCAGACAGAGAAGCGUGUGCUGGAGACUGAACUUGUGGACCACGUACUGCAGAAACUGAGGACUAAAGUCGGUGAUGAAAGGAAUGGCAGAGACGCUUCCGAUAAUCUUGCAGUGCAAAAUCUGAAGGGGUCAUUUUCUAAUGCUUCAGGUUUGUUUGAAAUCCAUGGAGCAACAGUGGUUCCCAUUGUGAGUGUGCUAGCCCCGGAGAAGCUGUCAGCCAGCACUAGGAGGCGCUAUGAAACUCAGGUACAAACUCGACUUCAGACCUCCCUUGCCAACUUACAUCAGAAAAGCAGUGAAAUUGAAAUUCUGGCUGUGGAUCUACCCAAAGAAACAAUAUUACAGUUUUUAUCAUUAGAGUGGGAUGCUGAUGAACAGGCAUUUAACACAACUGUAAAGCAGCUGCUGUCACGCCUGCCAAAGCAAAGAUACCUCAAAUUAGUCUGUGAUGAAAUUUAUAACAUCAAAGUAGAAAAAAAGGUGUCUGUGCUAUUUCUGUACAGCUACAGAGAUGACUACUACAGAAUCUUAUUUUAACCCUAAAGAACUGUCGUUAACCUCAUUCAAACAGACAGAGGCUUAUACUGGAAUAAUGGAAUGUUGCACAUUCAUCGUAAUUUAAAAUUAAAUUCUAAGAAGAGGCUGGGUGCAGUGGCUCACACCUGUAAUCCCAGCACUUUGGGAAGCCAAGGCAGGAAGACUGCUUGAAACCAGGAGUUCGAGACCAGCCUGAGCAACAAAGCAAGACCCCAUCUCUAUAAAAACUAAAAAAAUUAGUUGGGCAUGGUGGCACAUGCCUGUAGUCCCAGCUACUCCAGAGGCUGAGAUGGAUCAUCUGAGCCUCAGGAGGUUGAGGCUGCAGUGAGCUGUGAUUGCGCCACUGCACUCCAGUCUGGGACAACAGAGCAAGACCCUGUCUUAAAAAAAAAAAAAAAAAAAAAAUUUUUCUAAGAAGCUGUCCUACAAAGUUGAGCUUUGUUAGUUUUUCAUGUGUAAUAUAUUAUAAAUUUAUCUUUUGGGAUAUAAUAAAUGCUUUCAUAUA
rnacentral:sRNA from 1 species